GCGUGGCUCUAUCUGGCGAACUGUCGCCCAUCGGUCGUAGUCGUUUCAUCCAUGAUAACGCCCCUCGGGCAACCCACCAGUCACCCACUUUAUUGAAUCGUGUGUAACCAGUCGCAGUUCCGAAUCGUUUCCGCCAAAAUUUAAAAAUGUUCUUUGACUUCCGUUUCCGCCGAAAACGUUUUCGAUACGAUUGACGUUUAGCUUAAGUUUUUUUCCAAACACGUUUACAACAACCUAAUAUAGUUCAUCGAAAUAAAAAGAAUUUACAGAAAAAGUAUUUAUGGCAACUUACAACGAUUGAAAAAUGACAGCAGGGAACUUCGGUUAAAUCAAAUUUAUAGUAGACAUUGUACAACAGCGACAUCAACUAGCAUUUUGAUACCUACAACUGCAGUGCUUUAAAUAUGCAGUGCUGUGUAUAUAGAAGUCGAUAUUGAGAAGUUAUAAAUAUCUAAAGGUGGCAACAUUUUUACAACGAUUUACGUCCGUUUUACAAGAAAAAAGAUUCUUACACGAUGAGCUUGUUAGACCGAACCUUGAAUUUAUCGCACUCCGCAGAAACUGAAUUCGGUCAUCUAUAAUUAUGGGUUUGUGUACCAACUAUUGAGUAAUAAAAUAUAGUAAAUAAUA